rnacentral:rRNA from 1 species
GUGUCAGCAGCCGCGGUAAUACGUAUGGGGCAAGCGUUGUUCGGAGUUAUUGGGCGUAAAGGGCGUGUAGGCGGCUCAUCAAGUCUGGUGUGAAAUUGCAGGGCCCAACCCUGCAGGUGCGCUGGAAACUGGUGGGCUAGAGUUCUUGAGGGGAAGCUGGAAUUCCAGGUGUAGGGGUGAAAUCUGUAGAUAUCUGGAAGAACACCGGUGGCGAAGGCGAGCUUCUAUCAGAGGACUGACGCUGAGGCGCGAAAGCGUGGGGAGCAAACAGGAUUAGAUACCCUGGUAGUCCACGCUGUAAACGAUGUGCACUAGGCGUGGGGCACGUACGUGCUCUGUGCCGUAGCUAACGCGAUAAGUGCACCGCCUGGGGAGUAUGCUCGCAAGGGUGAAACUCAAAGGAAUUGACGGGG